UCAUGGCUCAGAACGAACGCUGGCGGCAGGCUUAACACAUGCAAGUCGAACGCCCCGCAAGGGGAGUGGCAGACGGGUGAGUAACGCGUGGGAACAUACCCUUUCCUGCGGAAUAGCUCCGGGAAACUGGAAUUAAUACCGCAUACGCCCUACGGGGGAAAGAUUUAUCGGGGAAGGAUUGGCCCGCGUUGGAUUAGCUAGUUGGUGGGGUAAAGGCCUACCAAGGCGACGAUCCAUAGCUGGUCUGAGAGGAUGAUCAGCCACAUUGGGACUGAGACACGGCCCAAACUCCUACGGGAGGCAGCAGUGGGGAAUAUUGGACAAUGGGCGCAAGCCUGAUCCAGCCAUGCCGCGUGAGUGAUGAAGGCCUUAGGGUUGUAAAGCUCUUUCACCGGAGAAGAUAAUGACGGUAUC
rnacentral:rRNA from 1 species